ACACGCAGGUUAGAGCCUUGGACGGGGAAGCGGAAAAGGCUUAGCAGCUACUAAUGGGUUCUAUUAAUAGUAGUAGUGUUAGAAGCUGACAAUGACUGUUGGGCUUUUCCAAUGAAUACCAGAACACCAUUUCCUGCAGCCUGAAAAGAAGACAGUAUAAUUGUUUGGCAGCAAGAGAAUCCAGGUGCCCUUCCAUGAGAAGCCCAAGCCAUGUGGAGAAGCCACGUCUAGGGACUCCAGUUAACACUCUCAGCUGAGUCCCCAGCUGACAGUCAGCAUCAACUGCCAGCCACCUCUGUCUAAAAGUGGGCUAUCUUGGGCAUCCAGCCCAGUCAAGCCUUCAGAUGAGUCCAGUCCCAGCCACUAUCUCACACAACCACACGAGAGACAUCAAGAACUCCCAGUGGAGUCCAGUCAGCCCAUGGAACUGCAAGAGACAGGAUCUCGCUGCGUUGCUCAGACUGGUCUCGAACUCCUGGGCUUAAGGGAUUCUCCUGCCUCAAUCACAGCCUCCCAAGUAGCUGAGAUUAAAAGUGCUCACCACCGUGCCAGCGAGUUCAGUUUUUGAGGGUGGAGCCAAGACUCUGAGGAGAGGGCUGAACUGUGAACCUAGAAGUACCAUCUCCCCCUGCACACACCUUUGGUCAAGUUGACCCCAAGAAGAAGGACAAGUCCUCUGCACGGCGAUGAGGCCAUACACACAGUCUGUGGCCCGGCUUUGGGAGACUGAUGGGACAAAGGAUGUUUUGCACGAUCCUUGGUCUCUGAGCAAAUAUAUACAUGGGUUAACACAAA
rnacentral:lncRNA from 1 species